GAGCCCUAAUCUUCGCAAGUGUUGACGGUCGGUUUUCAUCAAACCAUAAUAUAUACAGUCACGAACUUCCUUCCCCCCAAAACUUCCCCCAGACUCUUCUUCUCCCCUUGAACCCUAACGCACGCGGCAAAACUCAUGACGGCAAACCUCACGGCGGCAACCCCCACUUCUCACCUAACCGGCGGCAACCCUCUUCUCACCUAAGCGGCGGCUACAAUUGAGCCUUCUCCUCUCCUAACCCUAAUACCAGCUCUGAUGGUAACGACGGCGAAAUCGCCACAAGCCAACGUCGGCUAUAGCAGUGGAAAACCGCCACAGGUAAACCUUUUCCUGAAAUUGUUGAAAUCUAAAUCGAUUCUUCAUUCGCUAUUGUUACAGAUCCAGGAACCUAAAGCCAAAAUCACCCUUCACAAGAAACUAAGACGACACCGACCUUCGGUUUAGCGAACACAAGGCGUUGGAUUUAUGGUUCUGGUCACAAUAGAAGGGUUUAAGAGCUAUAAAAAACAAGUUACGACCAAAGACUUCAGCCUUAAAGUUAACUGUGGUGAAAUGCAGCCUGCUUCAAACUGUUCCGACUGAUGUACUGGAAAAGGGAAAGGCUAUAGCUGAUGCAUACAACACUCCUGAAGAAGAUUGUCCACCAAAAAACUUAGAACCAAAGUUGAAGCAGCUGGAGUUGAUACUGUGAUGACGUCAACUGUAUGUUGGGAUCAAUAAUGGUCAGGAUCCAACUCUUGAUUCUCUUGUUAAGCUGACAAGCCUUUUGAUUAUUUAUGAUUUUACUUGUAGUUUACAUUUGUUUCAUGUAUUAAUCAAAUUGGCACUUUGUUUCAUGUAUUAAUCAAUGGUGAUGUUUGUGACAUUAUGUAUGAUUUUACUGCCUUUUA